AGAGUUUGAUCAUGGCUCAGAUUGAACGCUGGCGGCAUGCCUUACACAUGCAAGUCGAACGCGAAAGUGGGGGCAACCCUGCGAGUAGAGUGGCGAACGGGUGAGUAACACAUCGGAACGUACCCAGGAGUGGGGGACAACCUCGAGAAAUCGAGGCUAAUACCGCAUACGUCCUGAGGGAGAAAGCGGGGGAUCUGCAAGGACCUCGCGCUCAUGGAGCGGCCGAUGUCGGAUUAGCUAGUUGGCGGGGUAAGAGCCCACCAAGGCUACGAUCCGUAGCUGGUUUGAGAGAACGACCAGCCACACUGGGACUGAGACACGGCCCAGACUCCUACGGGAGGCAGCAGUGGGGAAUUUUGGACAAUGGGGGCAACCCUGAUCCAGCCAUGCCGCGUGAGUGAAGAAGGCCUUCGGGUUGUAAAGCUCUUUCGGCCGGAACGAAAUCGGCAACGUGAAUAACGUUGCUGGAUGACGGUACUGGAAGAAGAAGCACCGGCUAACUACGUGCCAGCAGCCGCGGUAAUACGUAGGGUGCGAGCGUUAAUCGGAAUUACUGGGCGUAAAGCGUGCGCAGGCGGUUCUGCAAGUCAGAUGUGAAAUCCCCGGGCUUAACCUGGGAACUGCGUUUGAAACUACGGAGCUAGAGUGCGGCAGAGGGGGGUGGAAUUCCACGUGUAGCAGUGAAAUGCGUA
rnacentral:rRNA from 1 species